CCGUCGUGAGACAGGGUUAGUUUUACCCUACUGAUGACUGGUCAUUGCAAUAAUAAUCCUGCUCAGUACGAGAGGAACCGCAGGUUCGGACACUUGGUUCAUGUGCUUGGUCGAGAGACCAGUGGUGCGAAGCUACCAUCCGUGGGAUUACGACUGAACGCCUCUAAGUCAGAAUCCCGUCUAAGCAGUGCAAUGAUAUCGUGCGCACUUGCAGCGUUUACAGGUGACGUUAGAGUUUCUCGGGUCGAUCGCGGCGGGCCGCCGCGAUUCCCGGCUCGACGACGCCACGUGGACGUGGGGGCAUUAGUCGUUCGCCGAGGUAACGGUGCGAGCGACGCUCCCAUGCACUCGUUUUUGGUGUGAACCGCUGCGGUGUCAAAUCGUCUGUAGACGACUUAGGUAGCUGUCGUGGUGUCGUAAUUAGUAGAGCAGCCACCACACUGCGAUCUAUUGAGGCUUAGCCAUUGACCGGGAGGUUUGU
rnacentral:ncRNA from 1 species